GAACAUGAAGGAAAACUGACUGUGACAUCUGUCAACACAUUGAUUUUCAGCAUUGAUACAGAUGGUCUGAGCUGAUCCCUGGUCUCCUUUAUCACUUCAUUUGUGUCCCUUCCAGUGUUAUGUGCUUAUUAAAGAGGACCAGUCAUGAAGGGUAUUUAAAAGGUACGUUCCCUUUGUAUAAUUUCCAGGCAUGUCACACUUUAUUCUAAGGUAAAUCUGUAGAACAUAAAUCUGUAGAACAAACAGACACAUUCUGGUUGGGUGAGUCCUUUUUCU
rnacentral:snRNA from 1 species